rnacentral:lncRNA from 1 species
GUUAUCUUCUUUUUAUUUCAGAUUUAUGACUUUCAAGUCAGAAAUGGCAUUUAUCAUAUUGGUACGAUAACGAAAUUCAUGCAUAAAUUAUAUGUUUAAUCUGUUAUUUUGUACUAGCUGUACCCUUUGAAUAUUGUGGAGGUCUCUGAACUGGAUCAUGAAUGAAAAGACAAGUAAACUUUUGAGUGAAGACCAUAAACUAAAAUCUUAUAAUUAAUUUUUGCUGAGCAGUUCAGACAACGUCAAUCCUCAUAAUCUUUUUCUUAACAAGGUAUGUGCUCCUCUGGAUAGAUAAAUGACAGUAAUCAAACGAAUUUUGUUUGAAUCAGUUGCUUUCAGUAACUAAAAUGGUUCAAAACUGUAGUAUAAACCGCCUUCUUCUUGUCCUAUGCUCCUAUUGAAUUCAAGUUUUGCUUACUAACUAGAUUUGCAACGACGAUACUGAGCAAUGUUGCCUAAGAUUAAAUUCUUUUCUUCGCAGUGACAUGAGAACCAGAGCAUUUGCUCUGUUCUCUACAGGCUUGAAUCCUAGUACUGGCUCAUAUAAUUUGUGUUUCCAUUAUUGUUAAUGGUUGAAUUAGAAUUCUGGUUGUCAUUAUGCUAAUGUUCUCAAGCCAAACAUUCUAUUCUUGCUUAAACUGCACAGAACAUAUUGCAUUAGAUGUUGUAAUCUUGAAUCAUAUCUACUAAUAAUCUUGGUGGAAAACUUUUUUGGUGCCUAAAAAAACUGUGAUGUUCUUCUGCUACAGUAUUUUUGGAUGCUCAGGUCUGAGUCUAUGGUUCAGAUUGACAGGUCAUACUAAUUUUAAAAAUGUUAUAUCUUAGCAACAGAUAAUUAUCAUCUGUUUAUUAACUUCACAUUGCAGUUGUUGAUGAUACUUUGUGAUAGGUAUCAGUUUAUAAUGCCUAGAUCUUUUGUUUGAUGAUUAUUGUGUGCCGUGCAUAUAAAAACAAUGCUGUGUUACUCAUUUCUCAUUUUGGAUUCCUUACAAAUUCAACGAAAUCUUUCAAUUUCUUAUUUUAAGUGGUCAGCGAGAGAAUUAACUAUUGGGGACAGCCAGCCUGGUAAAAGAGCAGUAGCCACAGAUUUAUGGUAAUAUAUGUUUUGAUGAAAAUGUUCUUCCUUUUUGAAAUAUGUUGAAUCCAUUGAAUGCCUUUCAGUCAAAAGGAAUGAAGAAAAGCUAAUUGAACCGACUGAUCUUCGGUUUUGUCAUCUUUAUGCAUUCUGCAUUAUAAGUUACCUAGGUCACGUAGCUAGCAGUGUAGUCCUCAAUGCAAAACCAUCAGAACGAGCCAGGUCUAUGCCUGAGUUUUUGAAUGAAGAUCAUGCUUGCCUAACCAUAUUUACCAAUUGACUUGUCCCCGGAGUUUAAUUUGAAUGGUGCUAGGUUCACUUUCUCNGUGGGACA